UACGUAGGGUGCGAGCGUUGUCCGGAAUUAUUGGGCGUAAAGAGCUUGUAGGUGGUUUGUCGCGUCUGCUGUGAAAAUCCGAGGCUCAACCUCGGACUUGCAGUGGGUACGGGCAGACUAGAGUGUGGUAGGGGAGACUGGAAUUCCUGGUGUAGCAGUGAAAUGCGCAGAUAUCAGGAGGAACACCGGUGGCGAAGGCGGUUCUCUGGGCCAGUACUGACGCUGAGGAGCGAAAGCGUGGGUAGCAAACAGG
rnacentral:rRNA from 1 species